rnacentral:lncRNA from 10 species
CCCCAGCUCUCUUCCUCUCCUUGAGCCCCCCUAUUCCCUGAGUCAAAACAAUAUUGAAAUUGGGCCAAUUAAUAACCCUGCACUGGCCUGUAAGUGUUCAAGUGAAAGGAAGAAUCACACUUCUCUCACUUUAAAUCAAAAACUAGCAAUGAAUGGCCAGGCACAGUGGCUCAUGCCUGUAAUCCCAGCACUUUGGGAGGCCGAAGCGGGCAGAUCACGAGGUCAGGAGAUCGAGGCCAUCCUGGCUAACACGGUGAAACUCCAUCUCUAAUAAAAAUACAAAAAAUUAGCCGGGCGUGGUGGCGGGCACCUGUAGUCCCAGCUACUGGGGAGGCUGAGGCAGGAGAAUGGCCUGAACCUGGGAGGCGGAGCCUGCAGUGAGCCGAGACUGCGCCACUGCACUCCAGCCUGGGCAACAGAGGGAGACUCUGUCUCAAAAAAAAAAAAAAAACAAAAAAAACUAGCAAUGAUUAAGCUUACUGAGGAAGGCAUGUUGAAAGCCGAGACAGGCCAAAAGAUAGGCAGGCCCCUUGCGCCAAACAGCCCCACUGUGAAUACAUAGAAAACGUUCUUGAAGGAAAUUCAAAGGGCUACUCCAAUGAACACAUGAAUGAUAAGAAAGUGAAACAGACUUGUUGCUAAUAUGGAGAAAGUUUGAGUGGACUGGGUAGAUCAAACCAGCCACAAUAUUCCCUUAAACCAAUGCCUAAUCCAGAGAAAGGCCCUAACUCUCUUCAAUUCUGUGAAGCCCGAGAGAGAGAUGGAAGCUGCAGAAGAAAAGUUUGAAGCUAGCAGAGAAUGGUUCAUGAGGUUUAAGGGAAAAAGCCAUCUUCAUAACAUAAAAAUGCAGGUGAAGCAGCAAGUGUUGAUAUAGAAGUUGCAGCAAGUUAUCCAGAAGAUCCAGCUAGGAUCAUUGAUGAAUGUGGCUACACUAAACAACAGAUUUCGGUGUAGACAAAACAGCCUUUUAUUGGAAGGAGAUGUCAUCUAGGACUUUCAUAGCUGGAGAGGAGAAGUCAAUGCCUGGCUUCAGACCUUCAAAGGAUAGGCUAUCUUAUUGGAGGCUAAUGCAGCUGGUGACUUUAAGCUGAAAUCAAUGCUCAUUUACCAUUCCAAAAAUCCUAGGACCUUUAAGAAUUGUGCUAAAUCUACUCCACCUGUGCUCUAUAAAUGGAAUGACAAAGCCUGGUGAUAGCACAUCUGUUUACAGCAUUGUUUACUGAGUAUUUUAACCCCCUGUUGAGACCUCCUGCUCAGAAAAAAAAAAAAAAAAAAAAAAGAUCCAUUUCAAACUAUUACAGCUUAUUGACAAUGUACCUGGUCUCCCAAUAGUUCUGAUGGAAAGGUGUGAGGAGAGUAA